UUUUAACUCUUCUAUUGGGGUUAGACAAGGGGAUGUUUUAAGCCCUGCCCUUUUUAAUCUAUUUAUAAAUGAUCUACCUAAUUGUUUACUAAAUUGUCCUGAUAGUGUAAAACUUAGCACUAGUCGCAUAGACUGUCUUAUGUAUGCAGAUGAUGUCAUUGUAUUUUCUGAUUUUGCUGAUGGACUUCAAAAGCGCUUGAAGGCAUUAUAAUCAUACUGUAAUACCUGGUGCCUAAAUGUAAACUUAAAAAAAACUAAAGUUUUAAUUUUUAAUAAAAGUGGACGCCAUAUAAAAGAACCAUUCUAUUUUAAAAAUGAAUUAAUUGAAACUGUUUUCAAAUAUAAAUACUUUGGAGUUAUAUUCCAGUCAAGUGGCCU
rnacentral:lncRNA from 1 species